rnacentral:rRNA from 1 species
GUACACUCCUGCGGGAGGCAGCAGUGGGGAAUUUUGGACAAUGGGCGAAAGCCUGAUCCAGCAAUGCCGCGUGAGUGAAGAAGGCCUUCGGGUUGUAAAGCUCUUUUGUCAGGGAAGAAACGGUGAAAGCUAAUAUCUUUUGCUAAUGACGGUACCUGAAGAAUAAGCACCGGCUAACUACGUGCCAGCAGCCGCGGUAAUACGUAGGGUGCAAGCGUUAAUCGGAAUUACUGGGCGUAAAGCGUGCGCAGGCGGUUUUGUAAGUCUGAUGUGAAGUCCCCGGGCUCAACCUGGGAAUUGCAUUGGGGACUGCAAGGCGAGAAUCUGGCAGAGGGGGGUAGAAUUCCACGUGUAGCAGUGAAAUGCGUAGAUAUGUGGAGGAACACCGAUGGCGAAGGCAGCCCCCUGGGUCAAGAUUGACGCUCAUGCACGAAAGCGUGGGGAGCAAACAGGAUUAGAAACCCCGGUAGUCCC